UUCUUCCUCUCACGCCGCCCCCGCCCCCACACCCACGCGCCGUUGCAGCUGGGAACUCCUCCCCUAUCACCCUUUCCUCUCAAUGGAGCGCCACCACCGUCUUCUUCCUCUCUGGAGUACCCUUCCUCACACUACUCAAAUCAAAAAUCCAAAAUCUUUUAUGUGAGGGUCAAGUUUCUUGAAACUAUAGGAGAGGGAUACGUUCUAGAAAAAGAUGAAGAUGAGGAAACUGAAGAGGAAUACGAAGUGGAUGUAGAUCUUGAAGGGGACAUGUAUCUCGAAGAAACAAUUCUAGAUUUGGGCCUCCUGGGAUUGUUUAAAACCCCAUUAGAAUCAUCUUUUUUGGAAGAUAAUAAAGGAGGCCUUCUUCAAGCUAUGAUUUUGGGGUUUUCAGAAACAGCAGCCACCAUCUUCACAACCAAGAAAGUACAUACACAUACAUACAAAAUAAAAAAUGAAAAUUCACCUCUCAAAUUGUACUUUCAAACCCAAAUAAACUUACCUAGAAGCCCUUCUAUCAUCACCAUACGCAAACUUGCAAGAAAAAUCAAGAAAUCUCACUGUAACUCAAGAAACCAUAAUGGGUCUUUGCAAGAUUCCACAUGUUCCCAAGAUUUCUGGGUAUAAAUGUAAUGGAUUAUAGUUAAGCUAGUUUCCCACAAAAAAAAAAAAAAAUUGAAAAAAGUUGUAAUUUUCCGACGACGACAACAAUGGUGUGGAUUUUGGAUUUGAGUUAGGUUUGGGGGUGGGGUGAGAGGAAGAAGAUGGAUUGUCUUUUUUUUUAUUUUUU
rnacentral:lncRNA from 1 species